UCCGGUGACUAGACCUGCGAGGUCACACUCGUUCCCAUUCCGAACACGAUCGUUAAGCUCGCAGGGCCAAUGAUAGUGCCCAACGGUGCGAAAGUAGGUUAUCGCCGGAA
rnacentral:rRNA from 1 species